GAGGCUGUGGCUCAGUGGUAGAGCCUCAGUGCCUAGCAUGUGAGGCCCUGGGUUCGAUUCUCAGCACCACA
rnacentral:tRNA from 1 species